AUGACGAACGAUGUCAAUCUCAUGUACCAAAAGUACAUUGCCGAGUUGGACACGAUUACGCCUGAGCAGGUGGAAUGGCAGCCAUAUGGCGCGGGUGAGAGCUUGGGGUACACCGCGGACUUCCGCCUCAACCCGAUGUGCUUGCGGGAUAAGGAUCUCUGGCUUAUGCGGUGCCCACUGAUAUGCAACUGGGCGGUUGAGUUUCAUUUGCCGCAUCGCGUGUAUCGUCAGUUUGGUCUUUUCCAGCCUCACCCGCCGGAUUGGGUGGACACGGAUAAAGCACUUCAUAGGCUGGAUAGGAGAAGGCAACGGAAGAUAAAGGACUGGGCCAAGCAUCAUUCUGCGUAUGUUACCCGCUUCCAGCUUUGUGUGGAGCAAGCUUGUAGCACUGCACGCGCCCCGCUUCGUGAGCACAACUCACUUGCUUUUGAUAACUACGUACGAUGGUUUAUUGGAACUACUCGAGUUGAGAUAUGCCCGCCGGCAUAUAAUGAGGAUAUUCUUGAAGAACCCGUAAACUUUGAGGAUCUAGCAAAGGGGAAGUACAACAGAGAUGUCAGGCUAGGGCAAGGAGUCCAUGCUGUUCCGGUGAUUAACUAUGUGCGCACCGAGAUCAAGAAAGCAGCUGAUGAGAGCCAGUCUAUUCUGGAGAAGACACCGGUUGGAACUGGCAAUGAUGAUGGUUCACUACGAGCAUUCCUCAAGCGUCAGGCCAAGAAGUUAAGGCGGUUAUCGAUCCUUCUCGGUUGCCGUGAUCCUGAAUAUGGUGAACCAUCUGCCUCUAGGUCUGGUACACCAUCAGACCCCGCACCUCACCAUGAGGGGGACGAUGUGAGUUCCACAUAUGCUUAUAUGGAUGAUGAGGGUGGGAUCACCCAAGAGGACGAUGAGCUUGAUGAUGACAUGACUUUGGCGGACGCUCAAGCUCGGUCCGCAUAUGUGUUCAAGCCUAGGCAGCCCAGACGCCGGUACACGCCCAACGACUAUGACAACAUAGGCAACCCAAAGGUGGUCGUAGGGACCUCGCGGAUGGCUAGCUUGGAUGAUGAGGCGGAGAAGGAGGCGGAGGCGGAGGCGGAGGAGGAAGUGCACGAAGAGGAUCCUCGUGCUCCUAAGAAGAAGAAGCUUGCCUGCAGGCGUGCCACCAGGAACACGCGCGAAAGGCAUUAG
rnacentral:rRNA from 1 species